GCCACUAUAGCUCAGCUGGUAGAGCAUUAGCCUUGUAAGCUAAAGGCCCUGGGUUCGAUUCCCAGUGGUGGCU
rfam:Ordospora colligata OC4 contig_09, whole genome shotgun sequence.